rnacentral:rRNA from 1 species
UGGGGAAUAUUGCACAAUGGGCGCAAGCCUGAUGCAGCCAUGCCGCGUGUAUGAAGAAGGCCUUCGGGUUGUAAAGUACUUUCAGCGAGGAGGAAGGCGUUGUGGUUAAUAACCGCAGCGAUUGACGUUACUCGCAGAAGAAGCACCGGCUAACUCCGUGCCAGCAGCCGCGGUAAUACGGAGGGUGCAAGCGUUAAUCGGAAUUACUGGGCGUAAAGCGCACGCAGGCGGUCUGUCAAGUCGGAUGUGAAAUCCCCGGGCUCAACCUGGGAACUGCAUCCGAAACUGGCAGGCUAGAGUCUGGUAGAGGAGGGUAGAAUUCCAGGUGUAGCGGUGAAAUGCGUAGAGAUCUGGAGGAAUACCGGUGGCGAAGGCGGCCCCCUGGACAAAGACUGACGCUCAGGUGCGAAAGCGUGGGGAGCAAACA